rnacentral:tRNA from 1 species
GCCUGGGUGACGGAAUUGGUAGACGUAGCGGACUUAAAAUCCGCCGGCGAGAGCUGUACGGGUUCGAGUCCCGUCCCAGGCACCA